UACGUAGGGUGCAAGCGUUAAUCGGAAUUACUGGACGUAAAGCGUGCGCAGGCGGUUGUGCAAGACAGAUGUGAAAUCCCCGGGCUUAACCUGGGAAUUGCAUUUGUGACUGCACGGCUAGAGUGUGUCAGAGGGGGGUAGAAUUCCACGUGUAGCAGUGAAAUGCGUAGAUAUGUGGAGGAAUACCGAUGGCGAAGGCAGCCCCCCUGGGAUAACACUGACGCUCAUGCACGAAAGCGUGGGGAGCAAACAGG
rnacentral:rRNA from 1 species